rnacentral:rRNA from 1 species
UACGAAGGGGGCUAGCGUUGCUCGGAAUCACUGGGCGUAAAGCGCACGUAGGCGGAUUGUUAAGUCAGGGGUGAAAUCCUGGAGCUCAACUCCAGAACUGCCUUUGAUACUGGCGAUCUUGAGUCCGGGAGAGGUGAGUGGAACUGCGAGUGUAGAGGUGAAAUUCGUAGAUAUUCGCAAGAACACCAGUGGCGAAGGCGAGUCUCUGGACAUUUCCUGACGCUGAGGCACGAAAGCCAGGGGAGCAAACGGG